GGUUCGAUGGUCUAGUUGGUCAUGGCAUCUGCUUAACACGCAGAACGUCCCCAGUUCGAUCCUGGGUCGAAUCA
rfam:Nadsonia fulvescens var. elongata DSM 6958 unplaced genomic scaffold NADFTscaffold_8, whole genome shotgun sequence.